AAUUAAUAUCAAAAUCAAUCGCCAUAACCUAAUAUAUAUAAAACAACGUUGUGAUAAAAAAAAAAUAAAAUAUGUCUUGAGAAUAUACAACAACUAAUGUAGAAAGUCAUAUCAAAAUGAGUAAGUCAUCGUCAUUGUUUAGAUCCGUAUAUUUCAACAAGAAAUCAUUUUAAUACCGCAACUGUACAAUUCCAUGCCUGAUAGUAACUUGGAUGUAAUGAAAACUGCGAAUAACGAAAAAUAAAAACAAAAUAAAAAAGAGAAGUUAAUGAAUCUCUAGCGAAUAAAACCUCAUUCUUCAAGAACGCAUGCCGACACAGCAUACGUGCGAAGAGCAAAUCGCACAAAAGAAUUGGAAAAAACUCCUCAAACUUCAUUAUAGUUGUGAACGACGAGACAGACAUUGCUUUCGACAUUGAAUUGAUCAACACAAAUAUCAGCACGACGAACUCAUAAAAGUGGCCAAGUUAUGUUUAAGAAAGGUAUGAAAAAUUAUUAAAAUAGCAAAAUACAGGAAAAAUUGGCCAAAAAUAUUGUCGAAAUUGUAUACAAGUGUUAUAUGACAACAAUGUUUAUAAACAUUGAAGUGCUAAACGUAAACCCAGAUACAUAAGGACAUCAUAAAUAUGAAUAAAAUGAAACGAUUGUGAUAUAAACUGGAUUACAAUAUUUAGGAUAAUUAUAUCUCCGGAUUCCCUCCCAACUUUUUUUCUAUUAAUCAAUAUCAUCGCGACGGUAACAGUAUAGCUUCAGGAUUCAAGCUAAAAGGAAUAA